rnacentral:pre_miRNA from 1 species
CUACUACUCCCUCCGUCCCAAAAUACUUGUCAUCAAAAUGGACAACAAAGGAUGUAUCUAGAACUAAAAUACAUCUAGAUACAUCCCCUUUUAUUCAUUUUGAUGAUAAGUAUUUUCGGACGGAGGAAGUAUCAU